GAUCCUACUUCACCUGAAGAUGUUCAGCAAGAACGACGUAUGAAGUUACUGUCGUUAAUUAACAAUAUAGCCCGGGAAAAAGGGUUAGAUGGCCAAAAUUAUAAAUGUAAUAGUUGUUCCAGACCAAUUGGAAUGGCCCAUGGAUGCUUUCGUUCAUGAUGAAAGAGUCAUAUUGUAUAAGGAAGCUCUCGUUCAUCACGAGAGAGUUAUGAGAAAGUUACAUUGCAAAAGGUAACAAGUAAAGAACUUAUAAACAUGCUUAGAGUUUGUUUAAAUUAUAAUUCAAAAAGGCA